UACGGAGGGAGCUAGCGUUGUUCGGAAUUACUGGGCGUAAAGCGCACGUAGGCGGCUUUGUAAGUUAGAGGUGAAAGCCCGGGGCUCAACCCCGGAAUUGCCUUUAAGACUGCAUCGCUUGAAUCCGGGAGAGGUGAGUGGAAUUCCGGAGUGUAGAGGUGAAAUUCGUAGAUAUUCGGAAGAACACCAGUGGCGAAGGCGGCUCACUGGACCGGUAUUGACGCUGAGGUGCGAAAGGCGUGGGGGAGCAAACAGG
rnacentral:rRNA from 1 species